AUUGAACGCUGGCGGCAUGCCUUACACAUGCAAGUCGAACGGUAACAGGUUAAGCUGACGAGUGGCGAACGGGUGAGUCAUGUAUCGGAACGUGCCCAGUCGUGGGGGAUAACUGCUCGAAAGAGCAGCUAAUACCGCAUACGACCUGAGGGUGAAAGCGGGGGAUCGCAAGACCUCGCGCGAUUGGAGCGGCCGAUAUCAGAUUAGGUAGUUGGUGAGGUAAAGGCUCACCAAGCCGACGAUCUGUAGCUGGUCUGAGAGGACGACCAGCCACACUGGGAGUGAGACACGGCCCAGACUCCUACGGGAGGCAGCAGUGGGGAAUGUUGGACAAUGGGCGCAAGCCUGAUCCAGCCAUGCCGCGUGCGGGAAGAAGGCCUUCGGGUUGUAAACCGCUUUUGUCAGGGAAGAAAAGGUUCUGGCUAAUACCUGGGACUCAUGACGGUACCUGAAGAAUAAGCACCGGCUAACUACGUG
rnacentral:rRNA from 1 species